ACGAACGCUGGCGGCGUGCUUAACACAUGCAAGUCGAACGGAAAGGCCCUGCUUUUGUGGGGUGCUCGCGUGGCGAACGGGUGAGUAACACGUGAGUAACCUGCCCUUGACUUUGGGAUAACUUCAGGAAACUGGGGCUAAUACCGGAUAGGAGCUCCUGCUGCCUGGUGGGGGUUGGAAAGUUUCGGCGGGUGGGGAUGGACUCGCGGCUUAUCAGCUUGUUGGUGGGGUAGUGGCUUACCAAGGCUUUGACGGGUAGCCGGCCUGAGAGGGUGACCGGCCACAUUGGGACUGAGAUACGGCCCAGACUCCUACGGGAGGCAGCAGUGGGGAAUAUUGCACAAUGGGCGGAAGCCUGAUGCAGCAACGCCGCGUGCGGGAUGACGGCCUUCGGGUUGUAAACCGCUUUCGCCUGUGACGAAGCGUGAGUGACGGUAAUGGGUAAAGAAGCACCGGCUAACUACGUG
rnacentral:rRNA from 1 species